UACGAAGGGGGCUAGCGUUGCUCGGAAUCACUGGGCGUAAAGCGCACGUAGGCGGCUUAUUAAGUCAGGGGUGAAAUCCUGGAGCUUAACUCCAGAACUGCCUUUGAUACUGAUGAGCUUGAGUCCGGGAGAGGUGAGUGGAACUGCGAGUUGUAGAGGUGAAAUUCGUAGAUAUUCGCAAGAACACCAGUGGCGAAGGCGGCUCGACUGGCCCGGUACGUGACGCUGAGGUGCGAAAGCGAUGGGGAGCAAACAGGGAUUAAGAAACC
rnacentral:rRNA from 1 species